GAUGAACGCUGGCGGCGUGCCUAAUACAUGCAAGUCGAGCGAACAGACGAGGAGCUUGCUCCUUCGACGUUAGCGGCGGACGGGUGAGUAACACGUAGGUAACCUACCUAUAGGACUGGGAUAACUUCGGGAAACCGGAGCUAAUACCGGAUAAUAUUUCGAACCGCAUGGUUCGAUAGUGAAAGAUGGCUUUGCUAUCACUUAUAGAUGGACCUGCGCCGUAUUAGCUAGUUGGUAAGGUAACGGCUUACCAAGGCAACGAUACGUAGCCGACCUGAGAGGGUGAUCGGCCACACUGGAACUGAGACACGGUCCAGACUCCUACGGGAGGCAGCAGUAGGGAAUCUUCCGCAAUGGGCGAAAGCCUGACGGAGCAACGCCGCGUGAGUGAUGAAGGUCUUCGGAUCGUAAAACUCUGUUAUUAGGGAAGAACAAACGUGUAAGUAACUGUGCACGUCUUGACGGUACCUAAUCAGAAAGCCACGGCUAACUACGUG
rnacentral:rRNA from 1 species